rnacentral:rRNA from 1 species
UACGAAGGGGGGCUAGCGUUGCUCGGAAUCACUGGGCGUAAAGCGCACGUAGGCGGAUUGCUAAGUCAGGGGUGAAAUCCUGGAGCUCAACUCCAGAACUGCCUUUGAUACUGGCGAUCUUGAGUCCGGGAGAGGUGAGUGGAACUGCGAGUGUAGAGGUGAAAUUCGUAGAUAUUCGCAAGAACACCAGUGGCGAAGGCGGCUCACUGGCCCGGUACUGACGCUGAGGCGCGAAAGCGUGGGGAGCAAACAGGG